rnacentral:tRNA from 1 species
GGCACAGUGGUACAGUGGAUAGUAUUAUCAAGAAGGUCCUGGGUUUGAAUCCCAGCCGGGGCC